rnacentral:rRNA from 1 species
UUUACCUAUCGUAACGCUUAAUUAGUUACGGAUUGGGAAGUAUACCAUGGCUAUGCGAUUAACUUGUUGUUGAAAGUUGAAACACGGGGUAUUACACGGCCUUUACGGUUUGCCCUGUGGUGUUCUGAUUCUGGUAUUACACGGACUUUACGGUUUGCUAGAUGAAGUUCACAUUCGAUGAGUAUGCGGCUUCUGAGUAUUACACGGACUUUACGGUUUGCUCGGAAGUUAAAGACCAUUCUUUCAUACACGGCCUUUACGGUUUGAUAGAAUGAGAAAUAGCUCUAGUGGUUCUUCCUUAAUUGCUUGGGUAGUAUUGUUGUGUACUUUAUGGUCUGCUCUGCACAGGGUGCGUGGCUUAGUUCGCUUUGUAACGCUGUACUGAAGUAGAGAUAGAUUUGUGCAUGAUAUACCCAGUGAAAAUAAGU